rnacentral:rRNA from 1 species
GACGAACGCUGGCGGCGUGCUUAACACAUGCAAGUCGAACGGAAAGGCCUGCUUUCCCUUGUGGAUUGCGGGUACUCGAGUGGCGAACGGGUGAGUAACACGUGAGUGAUCUGCCCCCAACUUGGGUAUAAGCCUGGGAAACUGGGUCUAAUUCCCGAUAGGACUGCAGGGUGGUGCCUGUGGUGGAAAACGAUUUUCUAGUGGUUGGGGAUGAGCUCGCGGCCUAUCAGCUUGUCGGUGGGGUAAUGGCCUACCAAGGCGGCGACGGGUAGCCGGCCUGAGAGGGUGGACGGCCACAUUGGGACUGAGAUACGGCCCAGACUCCUACGGGAGGCAGCAGUGGGGAAUAUUGCACAAUGGGCGGAAGCCUGAUGCAGCGACGCCGCGUGGGGGAUGACGGCCUUCGGGUUGUAAACUCCUUUCGACCGCGAGGAAGCCACCUGGUUGGAAGGGUGGUGACGGUAGUGGUAGAAGAAGCACCGGCUAACUACGUG